AGCUUGCUGGGGGGAUUAGUGGCGAACGGGUGAGUAACACGUGAGUAACCUGCCCUUGACUCUGGGAUAAGCCUGGGAAACUGGGUCUAAUACCGGAUAUGACUCCUCAUCGCAUGGUGGGGGGUGGAAAGCUUUUGUGGUUUUGGAUGGACUCGCGGCCUAUCAGCUUGUUGGUGAGGUAAUGGCUCACCAAGGCGACGACGGGUAGCCGGCCUGAGAGGGUGACCGGCCACACUGGGACUGAGACACGGCCCAGACUCCUACGGGAGGCAGCAGUGGGGAAUAUUGCACAAUGGGCGCAAGCCUGAUGCAGCGACGCCGCGUGAGGGAUGACGGCCUUCGGGUUGUAAACCUCUUUCAGUAGGGAAGAAGCGAAAGUGACGGUACCUGCAGAAGAAGCGCCGGCUAACUACGUGCCAGCAGCCGCGGUAAUACGUAGGGCGCAAGCGUUAUCCGGAAUUAUUGGGCGUAAAGAGCUCGUAGGCGGUUUGUCGCGUCUGCUGUGAAAGACCGGGGCUCAACUCCGGUUCUGCAGUGGGUACGGGCAGACUAGAGUGAUGUAGGGGAGACUGGAAUUCCUGGUGUAGCGGUGAAAUGCGCAGAUAUCAGGAGGAACACCGAUGGCGAAGGCAGGUCUCUGGGCAUUAACUGACGCUGAGGAGCGAAAGCAUGGGGAGCGAACAGGAUUAGAUACCCUGGUAG
rnacentral:rRNA from 1 species